rnacentral:rRNA from 1 species
CUCGAUUCGUUAGAACAACUUCCAUUGAGUCUCUGCACCUAUCCUUUCCCUUUGUAUUCUAGUUCGAGAACCCCUUGUUUUCUCAAAACACAGAUUUGGCUCAGGAUUGCCCUUUUUAGUUCUAGGGUUUCUCUGAAUUUGGAAGUUACCACUUAG